UAAAACAGCUUUAAAUAUAACCAAAAAACCAGUUUUUUUAUAUUUUGCACUUGGGCCCUAUUGAAAUGUUGCUCUUGAAAUCAUCAUCGGGGAUGCAAAGGCGCAGAUCAGAAGCGAAGCACGAUAUGUUUCAGAUCGCGUGGCAACUGAAUAAAUACACCAGAAAGCGUGAUUAAUUGGGUAUUUUAGUGGUAUAUACAUUUCCACAUAUUCUGACAAGAUAUCAAGAGCAACAUUUCAAUAGGACCCAAGUGCAAAAUAUAAAAAAACUGGUUUUUUGGUUAUAUUUAAAGCUUUUUUAAGUAUCUAUAGUAAAUACAAAACAUCAUAGUGAUUUAAAAACUAUAUAGGUCUUAAAAAGCAAAUUUGAAAAAGCCUUAUGUGAAAACUGGCAACAAAGUUUUCAUUUUGUGCUUCGGCCCUUCUGUAUGAAAAAGCCUAUACGUAGUUUGUGUUUUGUUUUGCUUUCGGCCCUAUUUUUGUUGUGAGAUUUCUACGCAUCGCAAGUGGCAAGUAGCAAGUAAUCACUGGCCAUCUCCGGUUUAGUACGUUUCAAACAACCAGUUCUGCAGUUGCUGCCACGAAGAUGAUCCCUUCCGUACAAUUGCGAGAAAGACCCAUAUUCGAACGGGCAAUAAAAACAAUACGUUGUUUAAAUACUUUUCACCUGCAUAAAUAACACGGCCAUUCACAAAGACGACACGUUUUGGUACUUAAGCCUGCACGGCAACAAACAUUUACGCUACUUUCCGGCCUUUCCGGCUCACACAAAAAAAAGCUAUUUCGCUUGAUAUAUGUAUCACCUGUGGAGGGACCGACCGGAGUAAGUUCAUUAGUUGCGCGACCAACAUUUACUAUCGCUGAACUGCCAAGGCGGGAUGCACUUGAACGCGGUGAGUUAGAAAUGCAAAUGAAUGAACCGCUGCAUUGCUUUAAACUACCAUAGCGACUGUCGCUGAGUAUGAAACGGAAGCGGUAACUGAAGGCUUAUUCUGCAAAAUAGUUUUCACGUAUACAGAAAAAUAUCCACACACUAUCACCUUUGCUAGAAAUUAAAGAUCCAGAAAAUUUUCGAGAUGAUUAUAAAGAGGACACAUCAAACAGCGGUGGAUGUCGUUCAUGACGUGGAAUCUUAAUUUGAGCUAGAAGAUUGCUGCUAAUAGUCGCAAACUAACUGGAAAGGAAAUUGUUAUUGUAUGAUAAUACGCUGACCGGGUCGGAUUUUAAGUUCCUGAUAGACCCGGUGAACUGAUUAAAAAUGUACGGAUAGAUGAUUCGCUUUUGCAGCAUAUUGAGGCUCUGGAAAAUCCGAUCGAAUGACGGCGAUGAAAAAUAUGUGUCGAAAGCUUUUGAUUGGCGUUGAUGAAAGAACAAUGAUUUAGAAAAUUGUCAAUUUCUCAAUAAGAAUGCCAAAAUAAACAUUUUUUCUUGAAGAA